CAGCCUCGGAUAUCCUAAAUAUAGUAAACUCUUUGAAAUUUUCUGCUCAUGACCAGUGGGGACUUACACACUAUAUUUAUUUGAUGUGAGUUUAAUUAUUGGGGUUUUUACUGAGGAAGAUAAUGAGAAAUGGAAUUUUACUGAGCGGGUUUUUGCACAUUAUUUUUCCAGGAUUUAUUCUUAAUGACUGUGGAACUAAAGAAAUUUUUAAUCUUGGGAAAUGACUUUUACAUAGUUUUGGAUUUGAAAUAAUUUUCUGUCCUUUCUAUUCUUUGUUGAGAUGACAGGAAGCCACUUAUUAUUGGAAUCUUGGGUUCAGAAACAAACCUUCUGGAGCCAGACUGUGGCCUGGGGCUGUGAGCAGGAACAAGCUGUCCUCUUCCUGAGAGUGGAAAAGGCCUCUGUUGGGACUUCCCUUUUCCAUUUCUGGUGGAAAUAAAGGAUCAGCUACUCCUCAGAGUACCUACCAUAUCUUAGGAGAAUGAGCACCCUGAAGUUCCUUUUCCAAGCAGCUGACUAGAGGCAAGCACUCAGCCUGGACCAGCAGCACUGACCUAGAAAACUGAGAUGCUUGUGCAAUUAAAGAGGCAGUGUUCUGACCUGACAAGGCACUAUUAUGAAACCUUCCUAAGCACACUGAUGGAACAAGACACUGUUUUCAAAUGCAGCACUGAUGGGACCAGCAAGACUUUUAGGUCUCAUGAGACUGGAGUCCUGCACAGCAUAUGAACAAUUGAGCCUGGAUAAAUGCAUCCAGACUCAUGUUAGGAAACUCUUACUGCCCUCAGCAACUCUAUCAUAUUUGAAGCAAACUUUGGGGUAUUCAUCCUCUGGACAGAAUGACUGCACUGCAGAAGUUACACAUAGACACUGGCUUUAUUUCCCUGUAACAAUGGGGUUAAUGCUCAGGCUCACAGGAGUUAAAGGGGGUGGCUGCUGCUGCCCCAUGGCUAAUGCCAAGCAGGAAGGAAACCUCUGCACCCCACCUGCGGACGCUGAAAACCACACGAAUGUGUUACCUUGGAAGAACUCUGAUCUCCUGCUUACAGAAGCUCCUGUGAUCUACAUCUCCAGUGCCCUAGCAGAUACCAUAAAAUAAGGAAGGCUGAAAUGACUAUGGAGUUGUCUGGAAAUAAAACAUUUCAUCGUGUUUCACAAGAAACAAAAAAAAAAGGUUUUUUUUCAAGUGGGUACUGUACUUCUCUCUGGAAUCACUCUAACCCAAAGCUACAGCAAAGCACUAAGGGGUACUGCCAAGCUGAAACAGUACUUCCUCUGUGGUGAUCAAAUAUUUAAGACAAGCUUUCAGAACAGCAGCUAUUGUCUGACCAAAUUCUGGCCUCCAUUAUUUCACUUUGCUACAUACAGCUAGCCUGUAGUAUGUGUCAGAUUUUGUAUUUGUUCCUUCCUCUAAACUAUAACUGUGAUAUUGUCAUUUGCAUCCACUAAAUUCAGCUUUUCAUGUAAUUUGUUCAUAUACUCAUAUUUCAUGGUUAGUGUCGUAUUUCCUAAGGUAAGGAAUAAAAGCAUAUAAAAAUUAAUAUAGGAAAAUAGCAAACAAUGGAAGAGGGGAAUUAAAGAAGUAUUUUCUAGUCCUUCACGGAUCUAGGUAUACUUUUUUCAUGCGAAUGAAUAGCUGGAUUAACUGUUUGCAAUUAUUUUCUUCAGGGUUUUUUCCCUCUUUGUUUUGUUUUGUUUUUUGUUUAACUUUGAAAUUCACCUCCACCUGUAUUUGAUGAGGUUUUCUGCUGCUGCUGGACAAGCUGCAGAAUCUGAAGCAGCUGUUGGCCUGCACUGCUCCAAGCAGGAGGCCUCUGGCCAAUUUGCAGAGACAGGUGGAGUGUGCCAAUGCCCAGCAGCCACAAGGUCCUGCAUGUUAACUUUAUCCCUGGGCACCUGAAAGGAUAUGGCUACAGACUAGGAUCCUUGAUGUGCGUGCUCUUGCCUUCUAUGUGCAGGCACUUCCAUGGAAUAGGUUAAUUAAUAUUUUUCCCAUCUAUGUGCAGGCACUUCAGUGGAAUAGGUUAACAUUUUUCCCAUCACUUCUUUUCAGAAUAAAAUAACACAACACAUAUACUUGCACUGCCUUUAGAAUUCUUUUUUCUGUGUGCUACCUUUGUGAUUAUGAUAUUAUUUCUCUUAGAUGCACCAUAGCCGUAUUGUUUCCAUAGAGAUGUUCUGCUAUUCAUCUCUAAAUGACACAUGGACAGACAUUUAUGUUAAAAUGAUUGAUGAAUGGUGCAUUCCUGUCUUUACUGAAUCCAUAUGACUGACAACUUAUUCUCCAGAGAAACAAAGUAAGCCCUUAUUAUGGAUAAUGCAGAUUUGAUUUGCAGAAUAUGAAUCAUUACUUUAGAAGGCUCCUGCUGUGUUUGUAAGGAGAUCAAUUUGGGCUGCCAUCUGGAAACUGUACUUUAAGAGUGCAGAGAGAAAUGUUUGCUUCGUGACUAAACAUGCUGACUAAUAGUCUGUGCUUUAACUGGUCUGGAUCAAAUCCUUACAGGGAAAUCUGCAAAGACCUCUUCUUGACAUCAUGUAAAAGAUUUUUUUCUUACUUGAUUUUGCUUGCCAAACAACACAGGGGCUCCCAGACCAACAGCUGGUAAUUUUUUGUGCUUAAGAAAAAUAAAAAACCUGGA